rnacentral:rRNA from 1 species
AGAUUGAACGCUGGUCGGCAUGCCUAACACAUGCAAGUCGAGCGGGCAGCGCGGGGGCGACCCUGGCGGCGAGCGGCGGAACGGGUGAGUAAGGCAUCGGAAUCUGCCCUGAAUGUGGGGGUAUAACGUAGGGGAAACUUACGCUAAUACCGCAUACGACCGAGAGGUGAAAGCGGGGGACCGAAAGGCCUCGCGCAGCAGGAUGAGCCGAUGUCCGAUUAGCUAGUUGGUUGGGGUAACGGCCUACCAAGGCGACGAUCGGUAGCUGGUCUGAGAGGGAUGAUCAGCCACACUGGGACUGAGACACGGGCCCAGACUCCGUACGGGAGGCAGC